rnacentral:rRNA from 1 species
AACGAACGCUGGCGGCAUGCCUAACACAUGCAAGUCGAACGAGACCUUCGGGUCUAGUGGCGCGCGGGUGCGUAACGCGUGGGAAUCUGCCCUUGGGUUCGGAAUAACAGUUAGAAAUGACUGCUAAUACCGGAUGAUGACUUCGGUCCAAAGAUUUAUCGCCCAGGGAUGAGCCCGCGUCGGAUUAGCUAGUUGGUGAGGUAAAGGCUCACCAAGGCGACGAUCCGUAGCUGGUCUGAGAGGAUGAUCAGCCACACUGGGACUGAGACACGGCCCAGACUCCUACGGGAGGCAGCAGUGGGGAAUAUUGGACAAUGGGCGAAAGCCUGAUCCAGCAAUGCCGCGUGAGUGAUGAAGGCCUUAGGGUUGUAAAGCUCUUUUACCCGGGAUGAUAAUGACAGUACCGGGAGAAUAAGCCCCGGCUAACUCCGUGCCAGCCGCCGCGGUAACAC